AGUGGUGUUUAUACUGUGUAGCUUUUUUUUAAAAAUAAACUUAUUUAUUUUAAAUAAAUUUAUUUAUUUAUUUUUGGCUGCAUUGGGUCUUCGUUGCUGUGUGCGAGCUUUCUCUAGUUGCGGUGAGUGGGGGCUACUCUUCGUUGCGGUGCGUGGGCUUCUCACUGCGGUGGCUACUCUUGUUGCGGAGCACAGGCUCUAAGCGUGUGGGCUUCAGUAGUUGUGGCUCGAGGGCUCUAGAGCGCAGGCUCAGUAGUUGUGGCGCACGGGCUUAGUUGCUCUGCGGCAUGUGGGAUCUUCCUGGACCAGGGCUCGAACCCAUGUCCCCUGCAUUGGCAGGCAGAUUCUUAACCAUUGCGCCACCAGGGAAGCCCCUGUGUAGCUUUUUAAUAACAUUGUUAUUGUCUUUUAUAAAACACAAAUUGAAACUUCUGAAGAAAAUCAGUUUUAUUUUGGUCACUUAUAUACACAUGAGAUAUUCUGCUGUCUACCUUAAACACCAGUUCUUAAGCGUAUUGCUGUAUUCCUUAUGUUAAAAAAUCUUCCCGUCAGCAUUAAAUGUGAUUCUUUUUUCUUACUUUCUAAAGUUAAUGAGUCUAACUAGUAUUAUAAAAGUUUCCAUCUACAUUAUCAAGAGAAAAUGUUGGUGGAGGAAAUCCCUAAAAUCACAGCAUAGCAUAACCGAGCAUACACAUACUGAGGAAAAACAAAUGGCUAUAUACGUUGAAUGUAACAAAGUUGCCGAAGCUGUCUUUUCAUUAGAUGGAUAUUUGGGUUUUGUGAGGUAACUAACCUGGAAUGUUAAGGUUAGUAGUUCAUUUUAUAAAUUAUUUUAUUUAUUUAUUUUUGGCUACGUUGGGUCUUCGUUACUGCACACGGACUUUCUCUAGUUGUGGUGAGUGGGGGCUACUCUUCGUUGUGAUGCGUAGGCUUCUCAUUGCGGUCGUUUCUCUUAUUGUGGAGCACGGGCUCUAGGCGCAUGGGCUUCUGUAAUUGUGGCAUGUGGGCUCAGUAGUUGUGGCUCCUGGGCUCUAGAGUGCAGGCUCAGUAGUUGUAGCGCACGCACGGGCUUAGCUGCUCCACGGCAUGUGGGAUCUUCCCGGACCGGGGCACGAACCUGUGUCCCCUGCAUCGGCAGGCGGACUCUCAACCACUGCGCCACCAGGGAAGCCCUGGAAAAUAUUUUAUACUGACUAGCUUUUCCCCAAUACUAUUUUUAAUUAAAACUGGAAAUUUAUUUGCCUUAGAUAAGAUACAAGGUAAUGAUAACAUGAGUUAUGAACAUAUUUGGUUUUAUAGUGGUAAUUUGUUCAUUUGGUUAACAAAAAGUUUGUGCUAAAAACAGCUUUAUAGUUUUUUGGAACAUUUUUAAACCAUUAUAGUUAUGUAGGGAUAUGAAUAUAUAUAAAAAACACUACUCACAUUAGAUGAGGUUAUUAUAAUAUCAUACAAGAUUUAUGAGAUAAUAUUGAGAAGUGCUUAGAACCAUAAUGAGAAUAUGUAUAUCACUUGUAAAAUUACAGAAAAGUAAUUAUAGGUAUAUAUGACUGAAUUAGGCUGACAGUAUGUGGAGGAAGCUUUAACUUGUGAAAAUUAAGUAGAACCUGGGUUGUGGAAUUUUUGAACUAAAAGAACUCUAGAGAGGGACUUCCCUGGUGGUGCAGUGGUUAAGAAUCCGCCUGCCAAUGCAGGGGACACGGGUUCAAGCCCUGGUCCGGGAAGGUCCCGCAUGCCAUGGAGAAACUAAGCCUGCGAGCCACAACUACUGAGGCCUGCGUGCCUAGAGCCUGUGCUCUGCAACAAGAGAAGUCACUGCAAUGAGAAGCCCGUGCACUGCAAGGAAGACAGUAGCCCCCGCUCGCCGCAUCUAGAGAAAAGCCCGUGCGCAGCGACAAAGACCCAACGCAGCCAAAAAUAAAUAAAUAAAUUUAUUUUAAAAAAAGAACUUUAGAUAAUUUAAGUUAAUCUUUUUUUUUUUUAAUGAAAAAAUGGGCCCAGAAGUUAGGUAACUUGCGUAGGUUUAUGAUACUUAAGGUGUACCUGCAAUUCAAGAAGUGGCCUCCCUAAUUUAAAGUAUUUGUAAUUUGUACUUUUCAGAUAAAUCUGCCUGACAGAAUAAAAAUGUUCUCAAAUUAUUUAUAGUAUCAAUUUUAUUUAUCCAAGAUGAGUGCCAUUGCAAAACCAGGUUUUAUGUUCACUGAAAAAUGUUGAACGUGGAAUAGUAAAAUUUGCAGUACAAAUGCAGUACAUCUUUAAGAAUACAUAUUUGUUAGAAGAGUAUUCUAACAGUAACCAGAUGUGUGUUCCUUUGAGACUAAAUCUAGAGGAAGGAUAAAUCUAUGUAACUAAGAUCCAUCUAUUUUUACAGCUUAAGAAGAACCUUAUAAAAUCUUUUUAAGUCACAAAACUUUAAAGAUAAAAGUUGUGGAAGCUGCCUUUUGGUAUAGAGUGUUGAGCAUCAGUACUUGUUCUAACAGUAUGUCAUGAUCUAAUUAGCAGUAUUCCUGUUUCCACUUUUUUACCAUUGUAAGCUGCAUGUGUGCUGCUCCCUCUCCCCCCACACCCAGUUUUGUGUUAUUCUUUAGGGUAAGUUUUCAAGAAUGCUGUUACUAAGUCAUAGAAUUGGUAUUUUCUGGCUCUCGAAAUACUUGAUAGUGAAUUGAAAGUUGUGAAGGAGCACACCAAAAAUGCCAGAAAACUUUGCUCUGGGGGUGCCUACAAAAAGAGGGCCUUGGGAGUAAAAUGUGAUUAGUAUCGCAGAAAUAGGAAGAGAGCCAAGUUUGGUACAAUAGAAUCAAAGGGGGAAAGGUCUUCACAUGGAAGAUUGUAAGUGAUAAGUCUGUGAAAUUAGACCUCCAGUAGGUUUAAUGAGCAAGUGGCUUGAACUCUGAGAAGCUUGCAGGGAUUGAAGUUUAAGUGAAUGUAUUAGAGGGGAAGUAGAGGCAAUGGGUGUUGACCGAAUUCAUGGAGUUGGACAGUGAAAGGAAAGGAAGGAAUGGACAGAGAAGAUAAAUGAUGACUGUUUUAAAGCUAGGAGAGACCCAAAUGAUGACUGAGGGGAAGGGGUUAUGGACUGGGAAAGAAUGAAGUUAUUAGAAACCAGAUUAUUAACCCUGAGAACAAUAUCCUGGAUGAGUUGAUAAGGCAUGAGAUCCAGAGAGAGAGGUGGGAGGGUUUCAAGAAGGGGAGAGAAUUUUCUUUCUCUGGGAGUUAAGUGAAGGACCAGAGAUUGACUUUAGGGGUGGUGUGAUUUUUAUUUAUUUUUCUUUUAGUUAUUGGCUAAAAAUAGGGAAACAAGUUGGCAGUUUGCAUAUUUAGCAUUUUUACUUAGAAGGAAGCUUUUCAUUAAUGAAUUUUGGAGAAUAUUUGUGACACAGUUUAUAGAUUUGAGCUGAAAGAAAGCCAAAGUUUAUUAUUUAAAAUAUUACCCCAGGGAAUUCCUUGGUAGUCCAAUGGUUAGGACCCUUUGCUUUCACUGCCAAGGUCCCAGGUUUAAAAAAAAAAAAAAUUCCUCUAAACAAAUGAAGUUGAUACAUAUUUUCAUGAGCUUCAAAAUAUUUUUAAAAAUUUCAAAAUAUUGUUAAAUUUGCUGACCCGUCUCAUUCUAACAAUCUGAGAUAGAUAUUUAAUUAUGUAGAAAUUAAGCUAUAGAUUAUUAUUUAUCCAAAGUCACACAUAUUAUACACUCCUGGAAAGCAGGUGUUGAGUUUGCCAAUUGAAUAUAUCCUUUAUAGCACUUGUAUUCUUUCUUUUUUGGGGCGCUGCACCACGUGGCUUGCAGGGUCUUAGUUCCCCCACCAGGGAUUGAACCUGGGCCCCUGACAGUGGAAGCGUGGAGUCCUAACCGUUGGAUUGCUUGGGAAUUCCCAUGCGCUUAUAUUCCUAAGGCUUGAAUUUUACUUACAUUUUUAACAAAUAAGUGACAGAUCCUAUUAUCCUAAAUCCUAAUUCUUGUCUUUUGUGAUAGAUCUGCAGUUUGAUUUGUGGGUCAAACCAAACUUUGCACUCAGCAUAUUUAUUUAAGGCUUGAUGUGUGCCAAACCCUGGCUGUAGUCUACAUUUUCCACUACAUAGCAUGUUUUAUGCUUUAUGACAUUGUUGUUUCAGCAACUUUAUUAAUACUUAUUAAAGCCUCUCAAUGUAGCCCAGCGUAACCAAAUCUGGAAGGUAUAAUAAAAAAUUUGUAAUUGUACCUUUACAAGGAAAAAAUCCACCGCAUUUAAAUAUUCUUCCAGUGUCAGAAAAGGUUAGCUAAAAUGAGACCUCAACUCUUAUCAGGCUUAGUGCUAAUUACUGCUUUUUACCUAUAGCAUGAAAUGUAGUGAUCACAAGGGCAGAACAGUAGACUCAGAACUGUAUUUUAUUUCAUUCAGAGUCAAGGUUUCUGGGUAACUUAAAUAAUUUAUUUGGAGCAUUAAUUUCCAAAACACCGGACAGAUAACUUCUGAACUAGCUUGAGAAAUUCGGGUUGUGAACUCAUUGCCUCCUGGAGCUGAGGUAGUUUAAAAAGUACACAUGAUGGAUCCAUUAGGUUCAUGGUAGAGAGCAUACCCAGCCUAGAGUUUUAAAAGGCCAGGGGACUUCCCUGGUGGCGCAGCAGAUAAGACUCCAUGCUCCCAGUACAGGGGCCCCCGGGUUCGAUCCUGGUCAGGGAACUAGAUCUACAUGCACACUGCAACUAAGGAGCCUGCCUGCUGCAGCUAAGACCUGGCGCAACCAAAUAAGUAAAUAAACAAAUAAAAAUAAAAUAGAAGGCCAGGCUUCACCUCUGGUUGAUUCAGUUAUUUUUGUCUAUCUGAAUAUUCACGAGAAGCUUGAAUCCACAGGUCCAAAUCUCAGCUGCCUCCAACGCCACAUAGACAGAGACUGGCUGACUCUACCUAGUCCUCCUCCUGUAUUUGUUUCAGAUUAAUAGUACCACCAUUACUCAAGCUAACAUCCUGGAGUCAUUCUCAUUUUUUUCUUUCUUACUCCCCCCAUCAUUUACUAUUGAAUCCAGUCUUUUGUAUCUUGAUUGUUCACUAGUAAUGUCUCACCUCUUUAUUUUUUAAGUAGUUUUCAGUAUGGCUUCCUGGCCUUCAUUCUGUCUUAACUCCUCCAGUACAUCUGCCACACUGUUGUCAGUUAUCAUUCAUUUUAUUAAAUUUUUAUGUAUGUUCAUUGUUGAAAUGUUGGAAAACUACAGAUUAGUAAAAAGAAAAAUCACUACCCUGAGAAGAUCAAUGGAUGAUGAGAUUAAGGGGUUAAUUUUUAAAUAGUUUGGUUUCUAUCUUUUCCUUAUAAACAUGGCAUUUAACAUUGAAAAAACAAUUCCCUUGUAAAUCAGUCCCUAAUCCUAAACAUCUCCUCACAGAUAUUUCACAUAUCAGUUAUCACUCCCCUUUCCUCUUUUUUUUUGAUUCGUCUCAUAAAUAUUUACUUAUGCUAAAGUUUCUUCUCCGUCCUUUCACAACCAAGCUUUUUGAAGUGGCCUUAAAAAAAAAAGGGUAUGAUGCAUAAAAAAGAAUUUAAAAAUCAUAAGUGACUAUUUUAAGGAAUAUUAAUAAAAUAAUAAAGAAUAUUAAUAUUCAUCUAGCUUAAGAGAUAAAAGUUACCAUUCCUUUUGAAGCCACCUCUAUGUACCUCUUUUAAUUGUACCUCAUUCCUUCUCAGAGUAAAUUGCUCUCCUGGAUUUUGUUUAUCAUCCCCUAUUUUUCUUUACUUUUUUCUGACUUGUUUAACCUUUUAAGAUUAAUCCAUCUUGAUGGAUGUAACAGUACAUUUUUUAGACUAAGUACUAUUCCAUGUUACAAAGUCUUUUUUUUUUUUUUUGCGGUACGCAGGCCUCUCACUGUUGUGGCCUCUCCUGUUGCGGAGCACAGGCUCCGGACGCACAGGCUCAGCGGCCAUGGCUCACGGGCCCAGCCGCUCCGCAGCAUGUGGGAUCUUCCCGGACCGGGGCACGAACCCGUGUCCCCUGCGUUGGCAGGCAGACUCUCAACCACUGCGCCACCAGGGAAGCCCUACAAAGUCUUUUAUAAUGGUUUAUUUUACUCCUAAUUUAUUGUGAACAUAGCUGCUUUAAAUAUUGUAACACAUCUUUCCUGAUGCACAUGUGCAUGAUUUUCUCUGGGGUAUGUAUAUGUAUCUAGGAGUGGACUUGCGGGGUUGUACUAUGUCUUUGUUCAGUUUUACCAGCUAAUGUCAAAAGCGGUUAAAUAAGUUUAUGUUCAUGCUGGUAGUACCGGAGUUCCAGGGAUACCACAUACUCCCCAUUACUUAGUAUUGUCUGACUUAAUUUUUGUGAAAGACAUCUCAUUGCAUUUCUAUUUCACAUUUCCUUGAUUGAUAAAGAGGUCAGAUAUCGUUUUUAUUUGUUUAUGGGCCAUUUGUGUUUCUUCUAUGGAAUGCCUAUUGACUGUUUUUCAGUUUGGUUAUCCUUUAUUGAUUUUUAUAGGAGUUCUUUUUUUGUCUUGUUUUGUUUUGUUUUUGGCAGUACGCGGGCCUCUCACUGUCAUGGCCUCUCCCGUUGCGGAGCACAGGCUCUGGACGCACAGGCUCAGCGGCCAUGGCUCACGGGCCUAGCCGCUCCGCGGCAUGUGGGAUCUUCCCGGACCGGGGCACGAACUCGUGCCCCCUGCAUUGGCAGGCGGACUCUCAACCACUGGGCCACCGGGGAAGCCCAGGAGUUCUUUUGUAUGACUAAAUUCUUUUCUCAGUUUGAGUUGAUUUUUCACUUUCAGUGUCUUGAUGAACUGCAAAGAGAAUUUAUCAGUCUUUUUCCUUUUUGGUUUGUACUUUCUCUGUUUUAAGAAAUCCUUUUCUACUGUGAGCUCAUGAAAUUUUUCUAAAAUUUUGUCCUAAACUGUUGUCUUCUAAAAGUCUUGCAGUUUAGUCUUUCACAUUUAAAUCUUUAAUCCCUUAUGGGUUGAGUUAGGCAUCCAAUUUCUUCUUUUUUUUUCUUUUAAUGGAUACACAAUUUGUCUUAGCCCCAUUUACUAAGAAGCUUUCCUAUUUGGUCAACAGUCAAGUUUCCAAGUAUGUGUGGGUCUGCAUCAUCUGGGUUAUCUCGUCUGUCCCAUUUGGCCUGUAUGUGUCCAUAUUUGAGUUUAUGAUGAAAUCUUUUUUUUUUUUUAACAUCUUUAUUGGGGUAUAAUUGCUUUACAAUGGUGUGUGUAUGAUGAAAUCUUGAUGCCUACCAGGGCUAAUCCUUCUGCCUUUCAAAUCUAGAUGUCAUUUUUGAAAAAAUCCAGAUGUUAAAAGAAAUUAGCAAAAAUGUAAGAUAAAGCUACUUUAAAAAAAAUGAAUAAUUGAAAGGAGUUUUAUAUUUCACUUAACUUUGCCUUUCCUGAUCAGAGUAUGUUUACAUAUGUUUGUAUAUCAUAUGUUUACCUUUAUUUUUAAGAGCUUAUGCUUCUCAUUUUAUUUUUUAUUGAAGUAUAAUUGACCUACAAUACUAUGUUAGCACAACAUUUAAUAUUUCUAUACACUACAGAAUGAUAAUGGUGAGUCUAAUUACCAUUUGUCACCAUACAGUUAUUACAGUAUUAUUGACUAUAUUCCCAAUGUUGUACAUUUCAUUGCUCUGACUCAUUUAUUUUGUAACUGGAAGUUUGUACCUCUUAAUCUCCUUCACCUAUUUCUCGUUCCCCCACCCACCUCCUGUCUGGCAGCCACCUGUUUGUUCUCUAUAUCUAUGAAUCUGUUUGUUUCUUUUUGCCUGUUCAUUUGUUUUGCUUUUUAAAUUCCACAUAUAAGUGAAGUCAUAUAGUGUUUGUCUUCCUCUGUCUGACUUGUUUCACUUUACAUAAUACCCUCGAAGUCCAUCCAUGUUGUCACAGAUGGCAAGAUUUCAUUCUUUUUUAUGGCUGAGUAGUAUUCUGUUGUGUAUAUAUACCACAUCUUUAUCUUUUCACUUUUCGAUGGACACAUAGGUUGCUUCCAUGUCUUGGCUAUUGUAAAUAAUGCUGCAGUGAACAUAAGGAUACAUAUAUCUUUUCAAAUUACUCUUUUUGUUUUCUUCGGGAAAAUACCCAUAAGUGGAGUUGCUGGAUCAUAUGAUAGUUCUAUUUUUAGUUUUUUGAGGAGUCACCAUGCUGUUUUCCAUAGUGGCUGCACCAAUUUACAUUCCCACCAACACUGCAUGAGGGUUCCCUUUUCUUCAAACCCUCCCCAACAUUUGUUAUUUCUUGUCUUUUUGAUAAUAGCCAUUCUGACAGGUGUGAGGUGAUACCUCAUUGUGAUUUUGAUUUGCAUUUCCCUGAUGAUUAGUGAUGUUGAUCAUCUUUUAAUGUGUCUGUUGGACAUCUGUAUGUCUUUUUUGGAAAAAUGUCUGUUUAGGUCCUCUACCCAUUUUUUAAAAAUUAAUUAAUUUAGUUUUUGGUUGUGUUGGGUCUUUGUUGCUGCGUGCAGGCUUUCUCUAGUUGUGGCGAGCGGGAGCUACUCUUGUUGUGGUGUGCGGGCUUCUCAUUGCGGUGGCUUCUCUUGUUGUGGAGCACGGGCUGUAGAGCACAGGCUUGUUAGUUGUGGAGCAUGGGCUUAGUUGCUCCACGGCAUGUGGGAUCUUCCUAGACCAGGGCUCGAACCUGUGUCCCCUGCAUUGGCAGGUGGAUUCUUAACCACUGUGCCACCAGGGAAGUCCCCCUCUGCCCAUUUUUAAAUCAGGCUGUUUGUUUUUUUGAUGUUGAGUUGUAUGAGUUCUUUGUAUAUUUUGGAUAUUAAUCCCUUAUCAGAUAACAUUGUUUGCAAAUAUCUUCUCCCAUUCAGUAGGCAGCCUUUUUGCUUUGUUGUCAGUUUCCUUUGCUGUGCAAAAGCUUCAUAUUUAGUUUGAUGUAGACCCAUUUCUUAUUUAUUUUUUUUUGCUUUUGUUUCCCUUGACUGCAGCAACAUCCCCCAAAAUAUUACUAAGACUGAUGUCAAAGAGUGUACUCGUUAAGUUUUAUUCUACAAGUCUUUUGGUUUCAGGUCUUACAUUUAAGUCUUUAAUCCAUUUAUAGUUUAUUUUUGUGCCUGGCAUGAGAUAGUAGUCCAUUUUGAUUCUUUUGCAUGUAGCUGUCCAAUUUUCCCAACACUGUUUAUUGAAGAGGUUGUCUUUUCCCCAUUGUGUAUUCUUACAUCCUUCCUUGCAGAUUAAUUGACCAUGUAAGUGUGAGUUUCUUUCUGGGCUCUCUUUUCUGUUCUAUUGACUUAUGUGUCUUUUUUUGUGUCAGUACCAUAUUGUUUUGAUUCCUGUAUCCUAGUAGUAUAAGUUGAAAUCAGCAAGUGUGUUGCCUCCAGCUUUAUUUUUCUUUCUCAAGUUUGUUUUGGCUAUUUGGAGUUUAGUGUUUCCAUACAGAUUUUAGAUUUGUUCUAGUUCUGUGAAAAAUACAUUGGUAUUUUGAUAGGGGUUGCAUUGAAUCUGUAGAUUUCUUUAGGGAGUAUGGUCAUUUUAGAAAUAUUAAUGCUUCCAAUCCAUGAGAAUGGUGUAUUUUUACAUUUGUUUGUGUCGUCUUCACUUUCUUUCAUCAGUAUAGUUUUCCGAGUAAAGGUCUUUAACCUCCUCAGUUAGAUUUCUUUCUAGGUAUUUAAUUUUUGAUACAAUUGUAAAUGGGAAUGUUUUCUUAAUUUUACUUUCUGAUAGUUUCUUGUUCAUGUAUAGAAACAGCAGAUUUCUGUAUAUUACUUUUGUAUCCUUCAACUUUACUAAAUUAACUUACUAAUUUGAAUAGUUUUUUUGGUGGCCUCUCUAUAGGGUUUUCUAUGUUUAGUAUCAUGUCAUCUCUAAACAGUAAUGGUUUUACUUCUUCCUUUCCAAUUUGGAUUUCUUUUGUUUCUUUUUCUUAUCUGAUUGCUGUGAUAAUGCCAGUCUUCAUAUAUAAUACAUUUUGUAUUGGAAACAGUUAUUUUCAUAAAACAGUGUCUGUUAAUAAAUGAUGAAUUUAUUUUUAAAUAAAUUAACAACAUUUAAAUUUUCACAGUUGUAAUUUCUAUCGCAGUAAAUAGCAGUAUAUCUAUAUUUUCCCCCUAUAAGCAAAAGCUUUUUGGGUUACUCAAAAAUUUGUAAGUGUAAAAGGCUCCUGAGACCAAAAAGUUUAAGAGCUAUUGCUCUAAAGUAAACAUUUAAAAUUCUUAAUAUAUACUUUGUUAAGUACACUUUUAGCUAUAUUCCACACCUUUUGAUAGGUAAUAUUUUUGUGAUAAUUCCUUUUUUUUUUUUUUUUUGUUUUGGCUGUGCUGUGGGGCUGUGGGAUCUUAGUUCCUCCACCAGGGAUUGAACCUGGGCCCUUGCCAGUGAGAGCAUGGAGUUCAAACCACUGGACCGCCAGAGAAUUCCCAUGAUAAUUCAUUUCUGAAUAUGUUCUAGUUUCCUUCUUCUUUGAUCAUUGAGUUGUUCGAAGGUGUGUUUUAAAAUUUCCAAAUGUAUGUGGGUUUUUUCCAGUUCUUUUUGCUGUUGAUUUCUAAUUUACUGCAUUGUGGUCAGAGGAUGCGAUUUGUAUCACAGUUCUUUGAAAUUUGUUGAGGUAGACUCUAUGGCUUCACACCAGUUUUUAUAAAUGCUUUGUAAGUGCUUGAAAAGAUUUUUUUCUCUAGUUAGUGGCAGUAUUUUUAAAAUGCUCUAUUCAUCAGUGAGCAGGUAGGAAAAUAGUAAAUGCUCUAGAUACUUUUAGGCAGAGAGAGAUUUCAUACAGGUAAUAGGUUACAAGGGUAUGGUUAGGACUAGAGCAGCAAAAAGGGUAGAGAGGGUUUGAGAGGAAGAGGGAGGUUGUCUAGGUUGUCUAAGGAUCUGGGAGUUGUUACUACCUAUGGCUGGAACCAAAGAGCCUGCACUUGCUACUAAGCUGCUGGAGCACUGGUACAAGUUACUGCUACUUGGUAGAACCAUACACACUCCUGCAACUCAGCAAGAACCCAGGAGCUCAACUUUUGCUGAUUUUUCUGGAAUCUACAGCUGCCAGCUCUUGACUUCAGUAGGAGACACCUUCUGUUGGAGGUGUUUCAGAACCAGGAAUAAAAUGGGAGGGGGAAUGGCAUUUUUCUUCUACUUUUUUUCCCCGCAGUACCUUCUGUUGGCAGAAUGGAAGACAGGGGAGUCUGACAAAUAGUUUACGGGCUUUUUUGUCUGCUUGAUCUAUCCAUUACUUUGAGAAAUCUUAAUAAAAUUUCCUACUAUGAAGGUAGAUUUGUUAAUUUUCCUUUGCUUGUCUAUUUUCAAAGGUAAGUUGGGUAUAUACAAGUUUUUUUUUAUCGUUUAAAUUUAUUUUUUUACGUAGCAGGUUCUUAUUAGCUAUCUAUUUUAUACAUAUUAGCGGGGUGUAUACAAGUUCUAUGCUUUUGAUGAACUGAACCUUUUAUCAUUAUAUAGUUUGUUUUUUUAAAAUCUCUGUAUUUUUGGUCUUAAAGUCGGUUUUACUUGAUAUUAGUGUAACUUUGUCAACUUUAUUUGGCCUGGUAUCUUUUCUGUCCUUUGAUUUUGAACCUUUCGGUGCCCUUAUCUUUUAAAAAUCACAUAAACUGUAUAUUGUCACCAUCCAUUUAUCUUUUAAUUAAAGAACUUUCAUUUUUUUGCUGACUAACUGAUAUAAUGGAAUUUUUUUCAUUUUGUAUUAUAAUGGAAUUUUUUUCAUUUUGUAUGAUUUUCAUUUAUCCUUUUUUUGUAUCUGUGUCUUAGUAUGGAUUGAUUUCUUCUUCCUUUUUCUCAUUUUGCUUUUUCCACCUCUCCACAUCUGGAACUUAUACACUCCUAUUCUUUUACAGGUUACCGUAGUUAUUUUUGCAUUUAUUUUGCUGUUAUCAUUCUAGUUUUUAUUUCAUACUUUUAGUUACGAAAAUUUUAAUCAUGAGGAAAAGUAGAAAAAAGUACAACAUCUCUAGUCUUUAUUAAGAUUCAACAAUUAACAUUUUCUGUAUUUAGUUUUUCUUUCAUUUAUUUUUUUGUUUAAUAAACAUUUUUUGUUUUUGUUAAGUCUUAUUAAGAAAUAAUGCACAUACCAUGAUCAUUCAAAGUAUACAGGCUAAUGGCUUUUAUUAUUCAGAGUUGGGCAACUGUCACCACAGUCAAGUUUAGGACAGUUUAAUAAACGUUUUUACUAAAGUAUGUGUAAUAUACAGAAAAGUACGCAAAUCUAAAUAUAGAGUUCACAUAUUCACAAAGUGAAUGCAUCCUUGUAACCACCACAUGAAAUAGAAUAAUACUCAUAAUACCCCAGGAGCCUGUCUUAUGACCACUCCUGAUGACUGCUUCCUUUUCCCAAAGGUAACCACUGUCUUGACUGCUAAUGCCAUAGGUUGCUUUUGCCUGUUUGUGAGCUUUAUGUAAAUGAAAUUAUAUGACACAGGUUUUUUUAAAUGUUUUGUUUUUUGUUUGAUUUCUUUUGCUCAACAUUAGUUUAUGGGAUCCAUGUUCUGUGUAGAACAAAUUCAUCUUUAUUGCAGUGUAUGAAUAUAUCACAGAUUAUCUACCCAAUUUACUGUUGACAGGCAUUUGAGUUAUUUCUGGUUUGGGCCUGUCAUGAAUAAUGCUCCUAUAAAUAUUCUUCUACGUGUGUUUUGUCGAACAUAUGUAUGUUGGGUAUAUACCUUAGAAUGAAAUUGGUGGGUCAGAGCAUAUGUUUAUUAUAUUCAGGUUUACAAAGUAGCACCAAAUCGUUUGCCAAUUUACACUUCAGCCGUGUAUGAGAUUUCCAUUUCUUGAACAUAUAUACUUGUCAACUUGGUCUUGUCAGUUUUUAAUGUUAGCCAUUUUGGUAGAUAUAUGUCAUUAUUGUAAUAUGGCUUUAAUUUGCAUUUUUCUGUUCCCCACUGAGGUUGACCCUUUUUUCCUAUAUUUAUUGGUCAUUAAGAUGCUUUCUGUCAAUCAUGUGUUCUAGUUUCUCACCAAUUUUUCUGUUCAGUUUGUCUUUUUUUAAAAAUUAAUUUGCAGGAAUUGUGAUAGCUAAUUUAAAUACAUAGUUAUCAAAAUCUAAAGUUUUAUCAGUAUGUUUGCACUCUUUUCAAAAUAUAAAAUCACCUUGGAAGGGUUUAACUCCCAUCACGUGCCUACCAGUUUAUAUGUUGAUUGCCCUAAUCUUACACAUUAGGCAUUUCUGGCUAAUAUACUUCAUUGCAAAUCCAAAAUCUAAAAAAAGGCUUAGACUCAUAGAUAUAGAGAACAAAUCAGUGGUUACCAGUGGGGAGAGGAAAGGGGGCAGGGGUGAGAUAAGAGGCACAAACUAUUACAUAUAAAAAAAGCUACAAGGUUAUAUUGUACAACAUAGGGAAUAUAGCCAAUAUUUUAUAAUAACUAUAAAUGGAGUAUAACCUUUAAAAAUUGUGAAUCACUAUAUUGUGCACCUGUAACUUAUAUAAUAUUUUACAUCAACUAUACUUCAAUUUAAAAAAAGAGAGAGGACUUCCCUGGUGGUUCUGUGGUUAAGACUCCGUGAUCCCAGUGCAGGGGGCCCAGAUUCAAACCCUGGUCGGAGAACUAGAUCCUGCAUACCACAACUAAGAGCCCGCAUACUGCAACUAAAGAUCCUGCACGUGGCAACUAAGACCUGGCGCAGCCAAAUAAAUAAGUACAUAAAUAUUUUUUUUAAAAAAAGCAUAGGAAGAACACUGACAUAAAUCACAGCAAGAUCUUUUUUGACCCACCUCCUAGAGUAAUGAAAAUAAAAACAAAAAUAAACAAAUGGGACCUAAUAAAAUUUAAAAAGCUUUUGCAGGGCUUCCCUGGUGGCGCAGUGGUUGAGAAUCUGCCUGCUAAUGCAGGGGACACGGGUUCGAGCCCUGGUCUGGGAAGAUCCCACAUGCCGCAGAGCAACUAGGCCCGUGAGCCACAACUACUGAGCCUGCGCGUCUGGAGCCUGUGCUCCGCAACAAGAGAGGCCGCAAUGGUGAGAGGCCUGCACACUGCGAUGAAGAGUGGCCCCCGCUUGCCACAACUAGAGAAAGCCCUCGCACAGAAAUGAAGACCCAACACAGCCAAAUAAAUAAAUAAUAAAGCUUUUGCACAGCAAAGGAGACCAUAAGAUGAAAAGACAACCUUCAAAAUGGAAGAAAAUAUUCACAAAUGAAUCAACGGACAAAGGAUUAAUCUCCAAAAUAUAUACACAGCUUAUGCAGCUCAAUAUCAAAAAACCAAACAACCCAAUUAAAAAAUGGGUGGAAGACCUAAAUAGACGUUUCUCCAAAGAAGACAUACAGAUGGCCAAGAAGCACAUGAAAAGAUGCUCAACAUCACUAAUUAUUAGAGAAAUGCAAAUCAAAACUACAGUGAGGUAUCACUUCACACCAGUUAGAAUGAACAUCAUCAGAAAAUCUACAAACAAUAAAUGCUGGAGAGGGUGUGGAGAAAAGGGAACCCUCUUGCACUGUUGGUGGGAAUGUAAAUUGAUACAGCCACUAUGGAGAACAGUAUGGAGGUUCCUUAAAAAAAACUAAAAAUAGGGGGCUUCCCUGGUGGCGCAGUGGUUGGGAGUCUGCCUGCCGACGCAGGGGACACGGGUUCGUGCCCCGCUCCGGGAAGAUCCCACAUGCCGCGGAGCGGCUGGGCCCGUGAGCCAUGGCCACUGAGCCUGCGCAUUCGGAGCCUGUGCUCCGCAACAGGAGAGGCCACAGCAGUGAGAGGCCCGUGUACCGCAAAAAAAAAAAAAAAAGGCACAUGCACCCCAGUGUUCAUUGCAGCACUAUUUACAAUAGCCAGGACAUGGAAGCAAGCUAAAUGCCAAUCGACAGAUGAAUGGAUAAAGAAGAUGUGGUACAUAUAUACAAUGGGAUAUUACUCAGCCAUAAAAAGGAAUGAAAUCAGGUCAUUUGUAGAGACGUGGAUGGACCUAGAAACUGUCAUACAGAGUGAAGUAAGUCAGAAAGAGAAAAACAAAUAUAUAUUAACACAUAUAUGUGGAAUCUAGAAAAAUGGUACAGAUGAACCAGUUUGCAAGACAGAAGUAGAGACAGAGGUAGAGAACAAACAUACGGACACCAAGGGGGGAAGAGGGAGGUGGGAUGAAAUUGGAGAUUGGGAUUGACAUAUAUACACUAAUAUGUAUAAAAUAGAUAACUAAUGAGAACCUGCUAUAGCACAGGGAAUUCCACUGUACAGUAGAAACUAACACAACUUUGUAAAACAACUAUACCCGAAUUAAAAAAACAAAAAGUACUUUAAAAAAAAUAAAGUGGAAAAAAUAAAUAAAUUUAAAAUGGCUUAGAAAUCAAAACUUUUUGGAAGUUGAUUACAAAUUUUUCUUGUGAAACCUGAAAUGAGUGGGUAUGAGAUUGCGUAGUGUUUUUUAAAAUUUCAUAUGCUAUAAACAUUCACAUAUUUCAGUGCUAAAUACUAAUUAGUUUGGUGGGGUGCGUUAUUAUUUUUAUAAAAUCCAGAAAAUUCUUAAUUUUGAAACAUCUGGCCCCAGGAAUUUUUACAUAAGGAAUUGUGAGCCUGUGUUGUUUUAUACAGUCAUUGUUUAGAUUUACUUACAUAUUUACGUAUUUUUGCUUCCUAUGUCUUCUUGCAUCUUUCACCUGUCAUUUAGGAUUAUUUUCCAGAAGGAAAUUAAGAUUUAUUGUUUAGCUGCUCACUGUUGGUGGUAAACUCUGUUCUAUCUGAAAAUACCUUCUUUUCACCUGUGUUCUUGAAACUGUAUCUAGUUUUGCUAGGUGUAGGAGUUAAAAUUGUCAAUUAUUUUCACUUAGAUGAAAGAUAAAAUUCCACUUGUUUUCUAAAUCAUAGUAUUAUCUGACUUCAAUUAUUGCUUUUAAAAUGAUAACCAUCAUUCUAAUUUUACGUAUCUUUGUAGGUAAUCUUCUAUCUCUAGUUUUAAGAUUAGCUCUUUUUCAGUUGGUGUUCUGUACUUUCACAGUGAUAUGUGUGAGUUUGGGAUUCUUUUUAUUUAUGCUGUUUGGAAUUCAUCCUGGACUUGGACUUGAGGAUUGAUGUCUUGAACAAUUCUGGGGAAUUCUCAUGCAUUAUCUCUUCAAAUGUUGCCUCCUAUUCUCUUGUAUUCUCUUUGUCUCAUGUUUUCACCUCUGUUUCUCUGUUAUAUCCUGGAAAAAUUCUUCAGACAUCUUCCUAGGUGUUAAUUCUCUCUUCACCUGUGUUUAACCUAUCCACUGAGUUUAAAAAGGUUUUUUUUUUUUUUAUUUAGAUACAUUUCACAUGCCAUAGAAUUCAUCCACUUAAAGUGUACAAUCAGUGAUUUUUUUUUUAGUAUAUUUACCCAGUUGUACAACUGUCCCCAUUAUCUAAUAGAAAAUUUUCAUCAUCCCCAGAAGAAAACCUUGUACCCAUAAACAUUCACUCUCCAUUUUCUUCCCAUCUGCUGGCAGACACCAGUCUAAUUUUUAUGUCUAUAGAUUUGCCUCUUCUGGGCAUUUCAUGUAAAUGGUAUCAACCUAUAUGUGGUCUUCUGUGACUCACCACUUUUACUUACCAUAAUGUUUCUGAGGUUACUCCAUGUUGCAGCAUGUAUCAGUACUUCAUUCUUUUUUUUUUAUGGCCAAAUAACAUUCCAUUGUAUGAAUACAACAGAUUUUGUUUACCUGUUCAUCAGUUAAUAGACAUUUGGGUAGCCUCUAUUUUUUUCUGUUAUGAUUAAUGCUGUUUUGAACAUUUGUGUUCAUGUUUUUAUGUGGAUAUGUUUUCUUCAUCCAUUGAGCCUUUAAAUCUAAUUAUAUAAGGAAUAUACUUCUACAUUCUUGUUGUAAAAGAGUCAUAAUAUGACAGUAUAUAGUGUAAACAGGGGUGUCCUCUUUCUCCUCCAUUUAUGCUGCUAGGAGGGAACUACUAUAAAAUAGCUGGAUGUGCUUCCGUCUCUCCCAUGUGCGUUUAUAUGACGUUUCUAUAAAUCUCUUGCUUUUGUUUUAAUAUAAAGGAAUUAUAUGUAUUUUUGAGGCUUUUUUUUUUUCCCAUUUCAGUAUGUUUUGGGAUUCUUCUGUUGUUGUUAGUACACAGAGAUCCACAUCAUUCUUAAUAGCUGUGUAGCCUCAUUUCCAUAUGCCAUAAUUUGUAUAAUUAUUGUUAGACACAUAUAUUGUUUCUGGAUUUUGCAUACAGUGAAGCAGUCAACAUCCUUAUUAAUUUUUUUUUUUUGUGGUACACGGGCCUCUCACUGUUGUGGCCUCUCCCGUUGCGGAGCACAGGCUCCGGACGCGCAGGCUCAGCGGCCAUGGCUCACGGGCCCAGCCGCUCCGCGGCAUGUGGGAUCUUCCCGGACCGGGGCACGAACCCAUGUCCCCUGCAUCGGCAGGCGGACUCUCAACCACUGCGCCACCAGGGAAGACCCUUAUUAAUUUUUUAAAAAAGCAUUUACCGAGGAAAAACAUUUGUCAGGCACAGUUUUGAAUGCUAGGAUUACAAAAUAAGUAGACCAUAAUCUCUGCCUUAGGUUGCUCACAGUUAUAUAAAUGCUACAAGAUUAUUAAGUAAAUUAAUUGGGGAUCUGGUGCUUUUCCAGCUAGGAAGAUAGAUUUUUAUUGCAUCAGGUAUUUUAUGCUAUUGUCUUCUGAAUAAUUUCUCAUUUGGUUCUUACUACUUUUUUAAGUAUUUUUCUAGAUUCUGAAAAGACAAAUUGUUGCCUCAGUGGAUAGAAAUUAUAUUCCCCAGGAUUUUUUUUUUUUUGCUUCUGUGAGUUGCCUGGGGCAUUUCUUCCUUAACCACUUGAUUAAAUUCUUGCCUAAGGUUCUCAGCAGGAAUUCAGACUCAGACCCAUGUGGGUGUCUGCUUGAGAUUUUGACAUUUCAUGGGAGAUGUUUUUUCCUUCCUAUACCCAUUGCUAAGUUCUAAGCAGGUAAAUUUCAUUGUUAUCUCUUUCUGUGCCGUUUAUCUUAUUCACUAUUACACUGAGGGGUCAUAGUUUUAUGCAGGUCUUCCGAGAGAUUCCUCACUUUUUGGUCUUGUCCCCCUUGGGUUUGGUACCCCCCUUGGGUUUCGCAGAAAACCCCAAAGUGAAAUCCAACCCUGAUCCUUUGAAUAUUUCAAAGUUCGUGUGUUCGCUUUGUUUUUGUUUUCUGUGGAAUUAUUCAGAGUAUCUACAUUGUGCUGGAAAUAAAAUUUUGCUUAGUCUGUAAAGGCAUUCUUCCUUUAGCUUUCAGUAUACCACGGUCCUGGUUUUUCUCCCCUUUGAUCACUCUCUUUUUGAACACUGCUGUACCCUGAAAGCAUGUAGAGAUUAUUUACAUAUUUGUCUCUCUUUUUAGACUGUGGCUCUUCACAGACAGGACUCAUUUAGUCUUGUCAUUUUUUUGCAUCCCAGUCUGAUUUUUGAAAAUGUUAGUUUAAUUUUAAAUUUUUUAUUCUUUUGGCCAUGCUGAGCAGGUUGUAGGAUCUUAGUUCCCUAACCACUGAUCCAGGUCACUGCCAGGCCCCCGGCAGUGAAAGUGCCGAGUCCUAACCACUGGGACACCGGGGAAUUCCCCAAAAUGUUAGCUUAAAAUAAGAAUGAACGCCUUGAUUUGUUGAAGGCUUUCCAUUUCCUAAAAGGGGGAAAAGUUUCAAUAAAUAAAUGUUAGAAUUAAGGGCUAUAGAAGUAUACUUAGGAAAAAAGUAUUUUUUUCUUAAUUUGCAUGAAUCAAAUUCUACCUUAUUUUAAAAUAAGGUAAAAUCAUUUCAGUGCCGUGUCAUCUCACCCUGAAAGAAGAAAAAUGUUGUAAUUGUUUAAUGUUGUUGGGGGGAAAGUAGUAAUUUAUUAGUGAAAUGAUGUUAAUGUAUAUGGUAUUCUUAUUAUUUUUUCUAUCACGUCCUCCUAUUGUUAACCUUCCACCUUUAGUUGAUCGUUAGAUGAAAUUAGAGAAAACAUGUUGGACAUUUUAUGUACAGUUGCAUUAGCAAUCAUUGUUGUAUAGCUCUACAUUUUUAAUGUUUUCCCCACUCUUGUUUAUAUUUCUUCCUACCCUAAAUAAGGAUUUCUACCCUUUAGAAUAGUUUCUCAAAGUGUCAGUUUUAAAUAAAAUUUUGCAAGAUGUGAGGCCUAACUCUCCAACUCCUUAACUUGCUCCAUUUUUCAUCACAUUUUAAUAUACCAUACACUUAUUUGUUUUUGUUAUUAUUUAUUAACUCCCUUCCCUCACUAGAGUUUAAGCUUUACAGGGCCAGGAAUCUUGUCAGUUUGUCCAUUGAUGUACUGCCAUUAUUAGUAUCUAAGAGGGAUAUAUUCUCUCCUGGUUUUGAUUCAUAACCAUAAGAGUAUCAUUUAACUAUUUUGUGGCUUGGUUUCAACAUAUAUUAGUGUGGGAUGAUACUUACACAGAUACAUUAUUUAGAAGCUGAACUGUUUUAUAUAUGAAUGAGCUUUCUAGGAUGCUAUUUAAAAUACUUAGUCUAGGGGCUUCCCUGGUGGCACAGUGGUUAAGAAUCCGCCUGCCAAUGCAGGGGACAUGGGUUUGAGCCCUGGUCCGAGAAGAUCCCACGUGCCCCGGAGCAACUAAGCCCAUGUGCCACAACUACUGAGCCUGCGCUCUAGAGCCUGCGAGCCACAACUACUGAAGCCCGUGUGCCACAACUACUGAAGCCCGUGCGCCUAGAGCCUGUGCUCUGCAACAAGAGAAGCCACCACAAUGAGAAGCCUGCACCCCGCAACAAAGAAGCCUGUGCCCCGCUCACUGCAACUAGAGAAAGCCCACGUGCAGCAGCGAAGACCCAAUGCAGCCAAAAAUUAAAAUAAAUUAAAAAAAUUUUUUACAAAAUACUUAGUCUAUUUUUCUUUUUUUUAUUAAGAGCAUUUCAUUGAGCGUGGUAUUCUUCAUUAAACACUAAUGUUCUCUGUCAUACAACUGUAGUAGUACUUUUUUAUACAGUUAUACCCAUCAUCCUCAGCUGUCUGAAAAAGCAAAACUUGAACGAAUAUAUAAGCAUGAGCAUUGAUGAAAAUGAUCGGAAGCCGAAGAGGUAAAGAUGGCAUCACUGGGAUGACACACCAUGUUUUAGCACUGUGCUGCACAUAGUGUGGUCUGUGGACCUGUUACUGGGCUGUGCUUUUCAUUUUAUGAGGACUUGGAAAAAUUGUACCUAAUUUCUCCGGUUAAUUUCAGUGGGGGAGUAUAGUAUGGUUUAAGAGCAAAUGAAGCAAUAAGUGUUAGCCAGUGUUAAAUGCCAGCACUGAAGAUUGGUUAGGAUUUGUUACACGAAAAUAAUGUGAUAUAUUCACCAGAAUAAGUAAACCCUUUUGCUUGGUAAUGUAUGGUGGGGCUAAGGAGGGGGAAACAGCAAAUAAAAGAGAAAGAAAAGAGGAGAAAGAAAGAGAAUGUCAGUGACUAGAGGUUAGAUAUUAUGACAAGUUAUUGAUAGUCAAAGAGCAGAUGACAGUUAAAAAAGUGAAAACUGGGGCUAUCAAGCUAUCAGAACUAUAUACUGAAGGAUCAUGUGGGCUUGUAGACCUCACUGUUGUCUGAGGAUGUCACAAUAGAGUAAUCAUUAUUUUUUAAAAAAACCUUUUUUUUACAUCUUUAAUGGAGUAUAAUUGCGAGUAAUCAUUAUUAACAGACUAAAUUAUGUACAAUACACAUAAUGUCAGGGAUCUGUAUUAGAGUUCAGAGUUUUACCAUGUUGAUUUAAAAUUUUUUGGAUAUUUAAAAGUGUUAGUCUUCAUUUUAUCUCAUUUCCUGAUCAUGCCAACACAUUCAAACUUGGUUUAACAUUAUGGGUCUAUGUUGGGACAGGCAUUGAUAUUAUCAGUUGGGGGAAAUGGAACAGGGCUGAUUAGAACAUAGAGAUUACGUGUUUUUGUUUUUGUUUUUUUUCUUUUUUGGCUGUCCCACACGGCAUGCGGGAUCUUGGUCCCCUGACCAGGGAUCAGACCUGUGCCCCCUGCAGUGGAAGUGUGGAGUGCAACCACUGGACCGCCAGGGAAUUCCCAUAGUGGUUACAGUUUUUAAAGUGAUCUUUAAAUUGCUUUUACUCUUUUGUAUAAAAACUGUAUCUUGGGCUUCCCUGGUGGCGCAGUGGUUAAGAGUCCGCCUGCUGAUGCAGGGGACACGGGUUCGUGUCCCGGUCCGGGAAGAUCCCACAUGCCGCGGAGCGGCUGGGCCCGUGAGCCGUGGCCGCUGAGCCUGCGCAUCCGGAGCCUGUGCACUGCAACGGGAGAGGCCACAACAGUGAGAGGCCCGCGUACCACAAAAAAAACCAAA